UACGUAGGGUGCGAGCGUUGUCCGGAAUUAUUGGGCGUAAAGAGCUCGUAGGCGGCUUGUCACGUCGGAUGUGAAAGCCCGAGGCUUAACCUCGGGUCUGCAUUCGAUACGGGCUAGCUAGAGUGUGGUAGGGGAGAUCGGAAUUCCUGGUGUAGCGGUGAAAUGCGCAGAUAUCAGGAGGAACACCAAUGGCGAAGGCAGAUCUCUGGGCCGUAACUGACGCUGAGGAGCGAAAGCAUGGGGAGCGAACAGG
rnacentral:rRNA from 1 species